UACGGAGGGGGCAAGCGUUAUUCGGAAUUAUUGGGCGUAAAGGGCGCGUAGGCGGCUAGAUGUGUCAAAGGUGAAAUCCCUCGGCUCAACUGAGGAACUGCCUUUGAAACUGUCUGGCUUGAGGCCGGGAGAGGGUAGCGGAAUUCCCAGUGUAGCGGUGAAAUGCGUAGAUAUCGGGAGGAACACCAGUGGCGAAGGCGGCGACCUGGGCCAAUACUGACGCUGAGGUGCGAAAGCGUGGGGAGCAAACAGG
rnacentral:rRNA from 1 species